CCAGACUCCUACGGGAGGCAGCAGUGAGGAAUAUUGGUCAAUGGAGGCAACUCUGAACCAGCCAAGUCGCGUGAAGGAUGAAGGUCUUAUGGAUUGUAAACUUCUUUUGCAAGGGAAUAAAGUGGGGGACGUGUCCUCCUUUGCAUGUACCUUGCGAAUAAGGAUCGGCUAACUCCGUGCCAGCAGCCGCGGUAAUACGGAGGAUCCGAGCGUUAUCCGGAUUUAUUGGGUUUAAAGGGUGCGCAGGCGGGAGAUUAAGUCGGCGGUGAAAUUUUGCAGCUCAACUGUAAAAGUGCCUUCGAAACUGGUUUUCUUGAGUGUAGAUGAAGUAGGCGGAAUUUGUGGUGUAGCGGUGAAAUGCAUAGAUAUCACGAGGAACUCCGAUUGCGCAGGCAGCUUACUAAACUACUACUGACGCUCAUGCACGAAGGCGUGGGGAUCAAACAGGAUUAGAUACCCUGGUAGUCCACGCAGUAAACGAUGAUUACUAGUUGUUUGCGAUACAAUGUAAGCGACUGAGCGAAAGCGUUAAGUAAUCCACCUGGGGAGUACGUUCGCAAGAAUGAAACUCAAAGGAAUUGACGGGGGCCCGCACAAGCGGAGGAACAUGUGGUUUAAUUCGAUGAUACGCGAGGAACCUUACCCGGGCUUGAAAUGCAUCUGACCUGGGCAGAGACGUCCAUUCCCUUCGGGGCAGAUGUGUAGGUGCUGCAUGGUUGUCGUCAGCUCGUGCCGUGAGGUGUCGGCUUAAGUGCCAUAACGAGCGCAACCCUCAUCAUUAGUUACUAACAGGUCAUGCUGAGGACUCUAGUGAGACUGCCAUCGUAAGAUGCGAGGAAGGUGGGGAUGACGUCAAAUCAGCACGGCCCUUACGUCCGGGGCGACACACGUGUUACAAUGGGUGGUACAAAGGGCAGCUACCUGGCGACAGGAUGCUAAUCUCCAAAACCACUCUCAGUUCGGAUCGGAGUCUGCAACUCGACUCCGUGAAGCUGGAUUCGCUAGUAAUCGCGCAUCAGCCACGGCGCGGUGAAUACGUUCCCGGGCCUUGUACACACCGCCCGUCAAGCCAUGGAAGC
rnacentral:rRNA from 1 species